rfam:Vigna angularis cultivar Jingnong 6 chromosome 2, whole genome shotgun sequence.
AACCUUAGUCGUUUUUAUCAAAAUUUAAUAUCAUGGUCAAUGUAAAUUAAAUUUGGUAAGCAAGUUCCUUAUAUUACUGGAAAAAUUAGAACAAAAUUCGUUAUUUAUAUACGUCUUCAAAGAAAGCCCACACUUUGGAUACAUUAGUAUGAGAUUAUGUCAUAGAAUUUUGAUUAUAUUUGUUGGCCUUUAGAAACACAAUAAUCAUUAACAUGGAUAGUUGAGGCAUUUUUAUGUCAUAGUGAAAGGAAAAAUUCUUGAAUGUAUAACACGAAUUACUGUGAAAUCAUUUACUAAAGAUGGUUUCAAUAAUCAAUAAUGAAAGUUGGGAGUUUGAAGUCAAUCAAAUGUUGUCCUAGUCUCAAUCAUAAAUGGUGUCGACUAUGGAUCACUGAAUGUUGCUUUUAGGACUACGCUAGAACCUUAUGAGAAAUCAAAAUCUUUGAGUU